rnacentral:rRNA from 1 species
CAGUCGCCACGGGAAUACGUAGGUGGCAAGCGUUGUCCGGAUUUACUGGGCGUAAAGCGCGCGCAGGCGGAUGGUUAAGUAGGAAGUGAAAGGUUGGAGCUCAACUCCAACAUUGCUCCCUAUACUGGCCGUCUUGAGUCCCGGAGAGGAAAGCGGAACGACACGUGGAGCGGUGAAAUGCGUUGAUAUGUGUCGGAACACCAAUGGCGAAGGCAGCUUUCUGGACGGGUACUGACGCUCAGGCGCGAAAGCCGAGGUAGCAAACAGGAUUAGAUACCCAGUAGUCCCUGUCUCUUAUACC